UGCGCUGCGCGGAGGAUCGGCCUGGAUCGCCCCUCAGCCUCUGCGGAGGAGGACGCGGUGGAUGGGGCUUUGGCCUGUGUGAAGAUGUUCUGGGGCGGGGGUGGACCAGGUCCCGGUCUCCCAGAACGUGGCUCCGGCCCUUACGAUUGAACUCAUGAAGCCCAGCGACUGCCCUUCGAACGCUGUUUGUGGCUACAGUCUGGUGAUAAUUCCAGAACAGAGUAAGGAGAGCUCCUUACAGGGGGCAGAGAAGAGAGGAAA